AUCAGAUGGCACCCGAACGCCACUUGAGUAAAAGUCACAGGCGAUCUCGGUACCAGGUGAUGAGAGAGAUGAAGUAUUGGAAUGAACGCCAGCGGGCCAAAGAAAACCCGAGUCUGUGUGCAAGUAGUGUAUACGUUAUUGAGACUGCGAAGUCGACCUUAGGCCAACAGUACGACAAUUCCUCUGAUGCUGACAGUGAAUCGAGUAUAUAAAGUUUAUGUAAUUAAAUGAAUCUCUAUCAACAAUAGAAUUAGUUGUACAUACUGAGCGUCAGAUCAAUAAAUGUUAGACAUCAUU
rnacentral:sRNA from 1 species